ACGUAGGGUGCAAGCGUUAAUCGGAAUUACUGGGCGUAAAGCGUGCGCAGGCGGUUUUGUAAGUCAGAUGUGAAAUCCCCCGGCUCAACCUGGGAACUGCCUUUGUGACUGCAAGGCUAGAGUACGGGAGAGGGGGGUGGAAUUCCAGGUGUAGCAGUGAAAUGCGUAGAGAUCUGGAGGAACACCGAUGGCGAAGGCAGCCCCCUGGGCCGGUACUGACGCUGAGGCGCGAAAGCGUGGGGAGCAAACAG
rnacentral:rRNA from 1 species